CUGCAUCCUGCCUCCUCCCCAUCCGCUGCAGCGCAGAGGGCUGUGGCUCUGGUACCACGCAGCACGGCACCCCACAGCUCUCCACGCAGCACGGCACCCCACAGCUCUCCACGCAGCACUGCACCCCACAGCUCUCCUUCAUUCGUUGCCUCUGGCCUCCUGAAUCGGUUUCACUGACUUACAACAAAGCUAGAGUUGACCCUUGAACAACGAGGGGUUAGGGAUGCCGACCACCCCCAAACAGCCGAAAACGCGUGUGUAACUUUUGGCUCCCCCUAAAACUUGGCCAACAGCCUGCUGCUGCCUGGAAGCCUUACCCAUAACGUAAACAGGCGACUCACACAUGUUUUGUGUGUUGUAUGCGCUGUAUACUGUAUUCUUGCAACAAAGUAAGCUACAGAGAAGAAAACAUUAUUAAGAAAAUUACAAGGAAGAGAAAACACAUUUUCGGUACCGGAUUGUAUUUAUGGGAAAAAAUCCACAUAGACCCACACCCAUGCAGUUCAAGCUUUUGUUGUGCAAAGGUCGCCUGCAUUUCAUUUUUGACUUCAAAUCAUUCAUAAACCAUAUUUUGCUGGAUUUCUAAACGUAUCCUCUUGUGACGACGGGCUACGUUUGAAACACAAACGUGGUCACAUUUUGUCAAUGACAGGAGGAACUGAGUUUCACACUUCUAAGCGAGGUCUAGCACACCUACCCAGACGUGCAGGAGUCACAGAUGUGGAGCAGGACGGAUUUUUACCAGCUGAACACACCCGGGGAACUCGACCACACCGAGAAACGUUCCUGGUCCCCAGAACUCCCCCACUCCGCAAACCCCCCCUUCCAGCAGCGGUAAUCUCCCCUGACUUCAAUGGCACAGUUUGCUCGGCCCGUGUUUAUGCUUUCGUGCAAAUGAAAUCAUAUAGCGUGUGGCCGGGUUUGCUCAAUGCCAGGGUCAGCCAGGAAAGUCUGGAACGCUGCACCUCACUAGCAAGCCUUGAGCCCAUCCCACACGGCAGCUGUCUUCGGAAGGGGCCUGUGGCCUGUGCCCUUGCCCUGACCAAGGACGCCCUCUCCGCCUUUGCGGCAUCUGACCACAGCUGGCCGCCGCGUCCCAAAGCGAAGAGCCGCGCAGCUUGCCGGCCAGCAUGGCACAAGGCGUGGCGCCCACGCUCAGCUGCAAGAACCGAGCUCCCACCAAGGUCAAGAAGGGGAUCUUUCCCCUGAGAUGGAGACAGAGCCAAAAGGGACUUUCUAAUUACGCAACUCAGAGAGUCAGCGCUUCAAAAACAAAACGCUCGGAGGAGCCGGAGUUUCUGUAAUGAGGACGGACACCGCCACAGCGGUGCUUGGAGCCACGCCUGCUGGGGACGGCAGGUUCGGAGCCGACAGCCUUCACCGAAGACUCUGCCGGAGACCCCUGGACCUGUGAGCAUGAGUCGCCAGGGCGUGUAUAAUCCAACUCCCACCCACCUGUCCCUCUCUCCCUGGCUCCCAGCUCUCCACGCCCUGCCGGUCUUCCCAGCCUUCGCACAUGCCGUUCCCUCUGUCGGAAACGCCUUUCCUCGCUUGAGCUCCUCCUCCUGUAUCAAGGCCCCAUUGAAACUCCAUCCCCAGUGACUUCACACCCAACGGUCCCCAGCCAUGCUGUCCUCCCUGUCUUUCUGUGGGUCUAGGAUCUCUCUCGUGUCCUUGUUCCGUAAAUGCUGGAGGCUGCACACAGCCCCCCCUCCUCGCCCCAGGACCAAGAAGCCCCCCACAUGAGCUGGGCAUUCGCAUCCGCAGCCUGCGUCCCCAGGGCCUCCCAAAAGCCCGGCAGGAAGCCCAGGCAGGCGGUGGGCUGCCUCUCCAUCAUUCUGAGCACGUCACGCUGGUGACCCGGGAGCUAUUUUCAUAAUUUCACAAAACCUAAUAGAAAUCGCACACGCGUCAAAAUCAGAGUGACAGGAAGGUCAAGUUUCACUGCUUUGGGAACCAGGCGUGCUGAUUAUCUCAUGGUCUGAUUGGCUGCCACGGUUCGAGUCAUGGAUAAGGAACGAGGAAGCUGUUAUCAUCUGGUAGCAAAAAAAGUUUCAAACUUGGGAUCCGAGGGGGUGUCCUGUGGAGAGGGCCAAGGCUGAGAGCCUCUCCUCCAGGGAGCUGUGCCACAGAUGGGAGAGCGGGCGCUCUGGGAUUAAGAGCUUUUCAAGCAAGGCUGGCAAGUUUUAAAGUGACCCAAAUACAGCAAAAUAUUGUAAAAUGAACUUGCUAACUUCUGGGUAGUAGCGAGCACCAUUUUGAAGGGACUCUAGCGUAGAAUGGGCAGGACAGAGUUUCAGGCUACGGCCUCGGGCCCGCGUGGACGGUCCCCGUGGACAUGCAUGAAGGCGGCGCUGGAGAAGGCUGGAGCUCUGUGCAUACCUGGGCUCAGCCACCAAGGGGGCUCGGCUCAGCGGCGUCUGACAAUGUGAGAGAGUCUCUAGAAGGACAGGACCUCGAAGUCCUCAGGGCAGCACUCUUCUUUAUGCCCGUGCCCACCUCUGUGCUUGAAUGCUUCCCCCGAUGGGGGGCUCAUUACAGCGCUGGCAGGUAUCAGACAGCCGGUUAGGAUACGGAUAAAAGGAGGGCAGGGAGGCCCAUCCCUGUUCCCACUGCUCUCCGACGCCCGUCUCCCCUAGCCCCUCCAGCAGCUCUGUGGGGCUCUUCCAGUUAAACCCUUCGCAGACAGACAUGGGGACUCACAGAAGUUUCUAAAUGACUGCCAAGGUGGGUCUAACACCAACGCUGAGCCCCGCCAGUGAUAGAGCGGAGUCUUCACCCGCCAGGAGCCUCAUCCGCUUUAGGCCGGUGGACGUGUCUGGUCCAGGGAGGAGGGAAAUAGGACGCGCCCCCCACCCCCCCCCACCACCCCGCAUCCUCUCCUGGCCUGAACCCUUUGCCAGGCCGAAACACCAGCUGUAAGCAAACCAUUCCCAGUCCAGUCGUGGCUGAGAGGUCCCGGGUUAGAGUCAUUUUCAUCAGAGGUGAGUUUGGAUUUCGUUUAUUUUGUUUUGUCUGAGGGCACUGGAGCAGGGGAUCCUUUGGUGCCUGAGGGGGUAAAUAUCAAUUUAUCUAAAAACUAUGCCAAGAUGUCUCAUUGCCCAGCAAUGCUGCACACAUUCAGCACACACGUGGGAAAACACCGAGGCGUCACUUCAGCCUGCUGUGUCGUGCUCGCCCUAACCUCAAGGCCAGGGCAGGGAGCAGACAAGACACCUGCGGGGCGGGCACUGCACGGGAUCCCCGAGGAGCGGCUUCGCCUUCAUCCUCAUGACGCCGGUGAGCCCUGCACGGGCUCCAUUUUUAAAUGAGGAAACUGAGCACAGAAAGCGGAAUUAACUAACGUUCCAAACUGGGGAAAUCAGAUGGGCUUCCCCCCAGGCCCCCGGGGCCCCACUCGUAAGAAUCUGUCAGCCAAAAAAGAACAAAUGACAAAGCCCGCGUGACAAAAAGACAGAGGAGGGAAGGGAACGGAUUAUAACCUGGAGUGCUGUCUCGCACUUCGCAAUACACCAUGUGGUUUCAUGACUUUUUCAAGCGUGUUUUUGAUCCUUAUCAAAAAAGCACUAACGUGUCGGUGCGGGCACACACACACGCGCGCACGCGCACGCGCCCGCGCGCGCAUACACAGAAGUCCCUGCUGGGCUCGCCGCGCUCUUGGCCGCACUCCUUGGCCUCGGGACAUCUUUUCCGCCCCAGCGCUGACCCGGGAACUGAAACGGGACCCGGACCUCGUUAACAAGUUCGGACCUGCAGUGCCUCCACGGGAAAGAGAUUUCUACUUAUUAGGAGAUGGCAUUUCCUCAGGGGACACGAGCGACUGUCAUGCUGGAGGCGUGGCUGGCUCCGAAGGAGAAUCUGGGCCUCACCGUCCGCGGCCACGCCGCACUUGCUGACGGGGUCAGUGUCCGCAAACGGGGGGGCUUAAAAACCACACACGAUUCUUCUCCGACAGUGCUGGAGGCGGGGGUCCACCAUCAGGGUGUUGCAGGGCCACACUCCUUGUGAAGGCUCCAGGCUGCGGGGGUCCUUCCUGCCUCUUCCAGCCUCUGCUCAUGGCCAUGCUCCUCCACCCCUGCCUUUGUCCUCACGGGGCCUCCCCUGCGUCUGUGUGUCUCCUGUGUGUCUUGCAAGCACGUGUGUCCUGGGGCGCAGGGCACAGCCCAAAUCCAGGCUGAUCUCAUCUCCAGGUCCCUUCCUUGUUUACAUCUGUGAAGACCCAGUUGACGGGUUCUGGGAGCCGGGAUGUGGACAUACGUUCUGGGGGGAUGCUGCAGUGACCGUGGCCAGAUCGGACUUUGUCCCAAGGGGGACACCCAGGAGGGUGGCUGACACGGUUGUCCCCGCCCGCACCGCUUCAGGGUCACCCUGCUUGGAGAGGCUGCUGCAGGGUCUCCGGGGGAAAGCCCAGACGACCGAGCGGCUCUCCCAAGCUCCCAGGGCCGCGCACGGGCUCUCCAGCAGAGCCCCGGCUUUCGGGCGACUGCAGCCCGUGGCUCCGUGCCGUGCCCACGGUGAAGCGGCGAAAGCAGCACCCGUCUAGAUAGAGUCCCCUGUGGGAUUCGGCCACACGGAGGGACCUGCAGGGUCCCAGGGGGCACUGAGUGGAAAGGAAGCCUGGGCAUCCCCCAGUCCAACCUCACUUGGCAGGUGACAAAACUGAAGCCAGGCAGGAGCAGGAGCUUGGUCAGGCCACCAGGUCAGCAG
rnacentral:lncRNA from 1 species